rnacentral:tRNA from 5 species
GCGGGUAUGGGGGAACUGGUAGACCCGACGUGCUUAAAACACGUUUCGCAAGAGUGAGGAUUCGAAUUCCUCUACCCGCACCA